UAUGUUUUGAUCUAUUGUAACAUUUUUUUUUUUUUUUUUUUGUAGUUUUACACAUGUAACUGAUGUUAUAGUAAAAGUAAUAGAACAUAUAAGCAAGGCGAAGGCACAUACAAUCACAGUUAAAGCCCACAGUACAGGGCAAGCUCUUAUCUGUUCAACUUGGAAGGCACAAGCAGAAAAGUAUUGUGAAGAACUGCAGAAGAAUGGAUUAACAGUUUCUAUUAUACAUGAGAGUCAAUUAAAAAGUACAAAAAAUAAAUCAGACACAAAAAUAUAGAUUCGUUUAUGUAAUAUUAUNNNNNNNNNNUUUUGUUUUUCUUCUUCAUUAAUUUCCAGUAUGUUUUUUUUUUUUUAAUAGAAAAGUAUCAAAGGAAAUAAAAAAAAAAAACAUACUGGAAAUUAAUGAAGAAGAAAAACAAAAGAGGGAAAAAGAAACGACUGCCUGGAAGGUUAUACUAUAUAACGAUGAUAUUCAUAAUUUUACACAUGUAACUGAUGUUAUAGUAAAAGUAAUAGAACAUAUAAGCAAGGCGAAGGCACAUACAAUCACAGUUAAAGCCCACAGUACAGGGCAAGCUCUUAUCUGUUCAACUUGGAAGGCACAAGCAGAAAAGUAUUGUGAAGGUAACACAAAAAAAAAUUAUACAUUUGAAAUACAAAAUAUAUAUAAAUUAUCUGUAAAUUAUUUAUAUAUAAAAUGACAACUUUUACUAAGUACUUUUUUUUGUAUGUACAAACAAAUAAGCUUCGUAUAUUUUUUACACACUUUUUUUUAAUUUCCAGAACUGCAGAAGAAUGGAUUAACAGUUUCUAUUAUACAUGAGAGUCAAUUAAAAAGUACAAAAAAUAAAUCAGACACAAAAAUAUAG
ensembl:lncRNA